UCCCACUGGUGUACCCUCCUCCCUGUGCUGUGGUACAGGUCCUGUUAAAGACUCGCUCCAAAGAUCCUGUAAAUCUGCCCAUGAUUUCUCAGGUAGUAUGAGCUCAGAAUGUCCUAUAAAUCUGAUACUCAGGAUUAUUGUCCGAAGUAGCAUAGACAAAACGGUUACUUUGAAGGAAAGAGCAAGAAAUGCUACGGGGUUCCAGAGACCGGCAGCCAAUGAAGAUCAGCCACAGAGAGCAGCAAGUGGCAGAGUGGAUCCAUGGGAUUCGGCGUGAACUGGCAUCGAGCACCGGUGGCUGGCAGUCUCUGAGAACAGCACCCAGCAGGGUGUCCAGCUGGCAGUGGCAGAGAUCAGAAGCCGGCUGUGUUGACCAAAGGUCUCAGCGAGGACUCGGCCGUGACAGAGAUCAUCACUUUGCCUCCUACAACUUCGUACGCACACACUGUCUCUUCCCUCUCUCGUGUUCCGGAGCGCCUUCCACUGCCAAAAGACAAAAGCUUCUCACUUAGCAUCUCUUCCCUGCCCAGCACGGUGAAGGUGGAUUUUGGACUCCUCACCUCCACUGUGUGUUUGUGCCCUGUCCUGCUCUCGCCCGCGUUUCCUCCUCGCUGCGCUGUUGAGCCGCCCGGGGCCACACCUGAUCCAGUGGGCAGUUCUGCGACCGCGG
rnacentral:lncRNA from 1 species